UCCUGACGGUAGUCGUAUGCUCGUCUCCGAGACUAAGCCAUGCAAGUCCAAGUACACGUCCUUGAACGACGGAAACUGCGAACGGCUCAUUAAAUCAGUUGCGAUCUACUCGGCGUUCCGCGCCGCCGGAUAACCGUAGUAAUUCUAGGGCUAAUACGUGCGAAGCGCCCGAAGCCGCGAGGCGACGGGCGUUCUCGCCGGAUGUAGGAACCGACCCGGGGACCGCCGGGGCAACCCGGCGCCCCCGAGACGGGGCGAACCACGGUGAAAUGACGGAUCGUCGGCCCCGCGCCGGCGACUCGCCGAAUGAGUUUCUGACCUAUCAACUCGAGACGGCGGGGUAGAGGCCCGCCGCGGUAACGACGGGUAACGGGGAAUCAGGGUUCGAUUCCGGAGAGGGAGCCCGAGAAACGGCUACCACUUCCAAGGAAGGCAGCAGGCGCGCAACUUACCCUAAUCUCGAUUCGAGGAGGUAGUGACAAG
rnacentral:rRNA from 1 species